rnacentral:rRNA from 1 species
UAAGCAUAUCAAUAAGCGGAGGAAAAGAAACCAACAGGGAUUGCCUCAGUAACGGCGAGUGAAGCGGCAACAGCUCAAAUUUGAAAUCUGGCCCCCCGGCCCGAGUUGUAAUUUGCAGAGGAUGCUUCGGGCGAGGUGCCUCCCCAAGUCCCUUGGAACAGGGCGCCUGAGAGGGUGAGAGCCCCGUACGGUGGGAUGCCGAGCCCUUGUGAAGCUCCUUCGACGAGUCGAGUAGUUUGGGAAUGCUGCUCAAAAUGGGAGGUAGACCCCUUCUAAAGCUAAAUACCGGCCAGAGACCGAUAGCGCACAAGUAGAGUGAUCGAAAGAUGAAAAGCACUUUGAAAAGAGGGUUAAACAGCACGUGAAAUUGUUGAAAGGGAAGCGCUCGUGACCAGACUUGCGCCGGGGCGAUCAUCCGGCGUUCUCGCCGGUGCACUCGCCCCGGUUCAGGCCAGCGUCGGUUCGGGAGGGGGGAGAAAUACGCCAGGAAUGUGGCUCCUCCGGGAGUGUUAUAGCCUGGCGCGUCAUGUCCCCGCCCGGACCGAGGUUCGCGCUCUGCAAGGACGCUGGCGUAAUGGUCACUAGCGACCCGUCUUGAAACACGGACCAAGGAGUCGAGGUUCUGCGCGAGUGUCUGGGUGUCAAACCCGCACGCGCAAUGAAAGUGAACGCAGGUGGGAGCUUCGGCGCACCACCGACCGAUCCUGAUGUUCUCGGAUGGAUUUGAGUAGGAGCGUAGGGCCUCGGACCCGAAAGAUGGUGAACUAUGCUUGGAUAGGGUGAAGCCAGAGGAAACUCUGGUGGAGGCUCGCAGCGGUUCUGACGUGCAAAUCGAUCGUCAAAUCUGAGCAUGGGGGCGAAAGACUAAUCGAACCAUCUAGUAGCUGGUUA